rnacentral:rRNA from 1 species
UACAGAGGGUGCGAGCGUUGUUCGGAAUUACUGGGCGUAAAGAGUGUGUAGGCGGUGCUCUAAGUUCGGUGUGAAAUCUCCCGGCUUAACUGGGAGGGUGCGCCGGAAACUGGAGUGCUCGAGCGUGGGAGAGGAAAGCGGAAUUCCUGGUGUAGCGGUGAAAUGCGUAGAUAUCAGGAGGAACACCUGCGGUGUAGACGGCUUUCUGGACCAUUGCUGACGCUGAGACACGAAAGCGUGGGUAGCAAACAGG